AGCCCAGGAUGGAAUGAAGAGCACAUGGCGCCUUCAUAGACCAGACAUGAGCUCAGCAGCCCUAGCCCAUCCCACGGUCAGGCUCUCACCCUGUGACACUGAAAUGGACUGCAAACAAUGGUGCUGGCGGAGUUCCAGGCUUCUGGACACUGCUUCUUAACAUGAAAAGGAGGCCGGAGAUACAAGACCCUGAAGGGAAAGAAUCCCCGCUUGAAGUGCAGAGAACCGGUUCCAUGCUCAGGACUGCCAGCUGCUGCGGGACACCUCCAGUGUUUAAUUCUCUUUCUCUGUUGAUAUGUUUGCAGAUCCCAAAAGGUGAUCCCUUGGUUACACUUACAUCCCCAGCUACUUGCCUUUUGUCCUGCU